CGGUGGAGCAUGUUGUUUAAUUCGAAGCAACGCGAAGAACCUUUACCAGGCCUUGACAUGCAGAGAGCUUUCCAGAGAUGGAUUGGUGCCUUCGGGAACUCUGACACAGGUGCUGCAUGGCUGUCGUCAGCUCGUGUCGUGAGAUGUUGGGUUAAGUCCCGCAACGAGCGCAACCCUCGCCUCUAGUUGCCAGCAUUCGGUUGGGCACUCUAGAGGGACUGCCGGCGACAAGUCGGAGGAAGGUGGGAUGACGUCAAAUCAUCAUGCCCCUUAUGACCUGGGCUACACACGUGCUACAAUGGGCGGUACAAAGGGCUGCGAACCCGCGAGGGGAGCGAAUCCCAAAAAGCCGCUCUCAGUUCGGAUUGCAGGCUGCAACUCGCCUGCAUGAAGCCGGAAUCGCUAGUAAUCGCGGAUCAGCAUGCCGCGGUCGAAUACGUUCCCGGGCCUU
rnacentral:rRNA from 1 species